UCCUAGCUGUAAAGCAUGCGGGCCAGGUGUCUAGCGCUCCUUGAGGGCGCUAUGUGCCGGAGGGAAGCCGUUAAGCCCGCCGCCUGGGAAGUACGGCCGCAAGGCUGAAACUUAAAGAAAUUGGCGGGGGAGCACCACAAGGGGUGGAACCUGCGGUUCAAUUGGAUUCAACGCCGGACAACUCACCAGGGGCGACAGUUGGUUGAAGGCCAGGUUGACGACUUUGCUGGACUAGCUGAGAGGUGGUGCAUGGCCAUCGUCAGCUCGUACCGUGAGGCGUCCUGUUAAGUCAGGCAACGAGCGAGAUCCUCGCCCCUAGUUGCCAUCGGUGGGAAGCCGGGCACUCUAGGGGGACCGCUGGCGCUAAGUCAG
rnacentral:rRNA from 1 species